GGACCUCGGCCUCGUACUCCAACGUACUC
rnacentral:sRNA from 1 species